CGGCGAGUGAAGCGGUAACAGCUCAAAUUUGAAAUCUGGGUCUUUCAGGCUCCGAGUUGUAAUUUGUAGAAGAUGCUUUGGGUGCGGCCCCGGUCUAAGUUCCUUGGAACAGGACGUCAUAGAGGGUGAGAAUCCCGUAUGUGAUCGGUGGCUUGCGCCCGUGUAAAGCUCUUUCGACGAGUCGGGUUGUUUGGGAAUGCAGCUCUAAAUGGGUGGUAAAUUUCAUCUAAAGCUAAAUAUUGGCCAGAGACCGAUAGCGCACAAGUAGAGUGAUCGAAAGAUGAAAAGGACUUUGGAAAGAGAGUUAAACAGUACGUGAAAUUGUUGAAAGGGAAGCGCUUGCAACCAGACUUGCGCGGGGUUGAUCAUCCGGGGUUCUCCCCGGUGCACUCGGCCUCGCUCAGGCCAGCAUCGGUUUCGGUGGUUGGAUAAAGGCCUUGGGAAUGUGACUUCUUUCGGGGAGUGUUAUAGCCCUCGGUGCAAUGCAGCCUACCGGGACCGAGGACCGCGCUUCGGCUAGGAUGCUGGCGUAAUGGUUGUAAGCGACCCGUCUUGAAACACGGACCAAGGAGUCUAACAUCUAUGCGAGUGUUUGGGUGUCAAACCCAUACGCGUAAUGAAAGUGAACGGAGGUGAGAACCCUUAAGGGUGCAUCAUCGACCGAUCCUGAUGUCUUCGGAUGGAUUUGAGUAAGAGCAUAGCUGUUGGGACCCGAAAGAUGGUGAACUAUGCCUGAAUAGGGUGAAGCCAGAGGAAACUCUGGUGGAGGCUCGCAGCGGUUCUGACGUGCAAAUCGAUCGUCAAAUUUGGGCAUAGGGGCGAAAG
rnacentral:rRNA from 1 species